rnacentral:rRNA from 1 species
ACGGAGGGUGCAAGCGUUGUUCGGAAUCACUGGGCGUAAAGGGCGCGUAGGCGGCCCGAUAAGGCUCGCGUGAAAGUCCGGGGCUCAACCCCGGAUCGGCGCGGGCGACUGUUGGGCUCGAGCACGGUAGGGGCAGGCGGAAUUCCGGGUGUAGCGGUGGAAUGCGUAGAGAUCUGGAAGAACACCGGUGGCGAAGGCGGCCUGCUGGGCCGGAAGGCCUUCAUUGGUCUGUGCUGACGCUGAGGCGCGACAGCGUGGGGAGCAAACAGGA